rnacentral:lncRNA from 1 species
CUCUUUGCCCUCUCGGGGCGGAAGGAACGCGGCGGGCCUGAGACAGGGCUGGCGCGGCCUGAAGCGCCAGCCUUUGGCGAUGCUGCGGCCGGCCGGCCGGCUGCUCGGGGUCGGGCUCCUCCGCCAGCGUCGAGCUGGAGUCGCGCGCCGGCCCGCUGUGGGGUCGGGCGUCCGAGGCCCAGCCGGCCCGAGAAGUAGGCUCGGUCCGAGCUGGACGCUGCAGGUUCUGACCUCGAAACGGGGGCCUGAGUCCUUCAAGAGCCUGGGGGCGAAGAGACGAGAAGGCGGCUGCAUUUUGCUGAAUGGUGGUGGUGUUUGGGGUUUUUAAAAAUCCUUUCUCCCCGAUUUUCCUUUUUACACUUUUUUUUCUUAAAAAAGAUUUUUUUUUUUUUUUGUCUUUGCUCUUUUAUUCGUUGGAGUGAAUGCUGUCAGUGGCGAAAUAAAAUUAGGAAGGGGCCCUUGCCCGGCUGGCGCCUUCUCUGCGCGCUGACCUGCGGGCGAGGCUUGGGGCAGAGCUCGGCGGAGGGCGGAGGCCGCAAGUGGAGGGCCAUGCAGAUUGGAUCAAACCAGAAAUAAGGCUCUCUGUCCAGAAAAAGCCUUCACUGAAAGAAAUAACGUGCUUAAGGAAGGAACGUAUAAGUCAGGAAUUGAGCCAAGAAAAGCCUGCGAAGUAAAUAUUUGGCAGGGUCCCAGUCUGAAGGGGAAAGUCUCCCGAGCAGCAGUUCUGGAGGCCAGAAUCUGAAAUCAAAGUGUCAACAGGGCUAUGCUCCCAGAAGCUUUAGGAGAGAAUCUGUUCCUUGGCUUUUCCAAUUUCUGGUGUCUGCUGGCAUUCCUGGGCUUGAAGGCACAAUCAGUUCAUCUUCAAUUGCCUUCUCUGGGGAGACGUGGUUGUGCACCCAUGAAACUGACCUUGUUUGGGAGUCAUGGACAUAUGCAUGAUAUUUAAAGCCAUGAGAUUGAAUGAGAUCAUCAAAGGAAUGAGAUCAUCAAAGGAUGGAGAAGAGGACCAGAGGCUGUGGUCAUCGGGAUGAACAAAACUGAGUAAGCAGAUGGGAGCUGCUUCAGGGAGUGUUGGGAGCUCAAGCUGUGUGAGAGGGGCUCAAAGCCCAGGGUGCUAGAUGGUGCCAGCUACUUCUGCACGGUUGCCAAUGGAAACCAGAUAACUGGACUCUGACUGAGGCAGACAUGCCACCUUACGUCUUCCAUGAGAAGGACCAUAGGUUUCUGGCACAGUCCAAGUGUCCAGAGGAUUGUCAACACUCGUAUCAAUGGGCCCGUAGCUCCUGGAUUCCAGGGAAGGCAUCACUCCUCGUGGCUCUUACCCUCCUCCUGGGGUCAGCAGAAAGGCUGGAGCAGCUCUUCUCACAGAAGGGUCAAGAGGUCAAGUGGAGGCGUGAGAAGCAUCUUCGGGCCUAUGCUUGACACUGGCACAUUGUCCCUUGUUGGCCUAAGAGAGUGACAAAGACAAGAAAUGGGGACGUGCACUCUAUACAUGGACAUGGUGAUAGGAGAGGGGAUUCAUAGCUCUGAUCUAAUCUCUCUCUCUCUACAUCUGCGUACAUGUAUGUAUCUACAUUUAUCCAUCUAUAUACAUCUAUCUCCACAGCUACAUGUAUAUACAUUACCUAUUUAUCUCUACAUCUAUCUAUCUAUCCAUCUACAUCUAUAUACAUCUGUCUGUCUCUACAUCUACAUACAGGCAUAUAUUUACACUUAUCUAUCUAUCCAUCUACAUAUAUCUGUCUAUCUACAUCUAUUUAUCUGUCUAUAUAUUUAGAGAUAUUCAUUUCUAUGUGUAUAUAAAGAGUUUUAAAAAAGGAUAGACCACAAAUUAAUGGGAGUUUUGUGAACAUGGUAGAUUUUAAAAUCAUUUUUAUUUUUUCUUUAAAUUUUUGCCAUACGUACCCUGCUUGGUGUAAUCUUAUAACAACAAUAAAGACAUUUUAUUGC